UAUAUACAUACAUGUAUAUGUGUGUAUGUAUAUGUAUGUAUAUACAUACACACACACAUAUACAUAUGUAUGUGUGUA
rnacentral:pre_miRNA from 1 species